GCCACCCUAGCUCAGAUGGUAGAGCAGUCGAUUCGUAAUCGACAGGUCGGCGGUUCGAUCCCGCCGGGUGGCUCGA
rnacentral:tRNA from 1 species